rnacentral:rRNA from 1 species
UACGGGGGGGGGCAAGCGUUGUUCGGAAUCACUGGGCGUAACGGGUGCGUAGGCGGGUCUUUAAGUCAGGGGUGAAAUCCUGGAGCUCAACUCCAGAACUGCCUUUGAUACUGAAGAUCUUGAGUUCGGGAGAGGUGAGUGGAACUGCGAGUGUAGAGGUGAAAUUCGUAGAUAUUCGCAAGGACACCAGUGGCGAAGGCGGCUCACUGGACCGGAACUGACGCUGAGGCGCGAAAGCGUGGGGAGCAAACAGG